rnacentral:lncRNA from 13 species
GGAAGGGUUACCGCUGCACCACCGAGGCUGAGGAUGAGGAGGAGGCGGCUCGGGUAGCAGAGGCGGAAAAGAAGGAUCUGGAGAUGUGUACAGAGCUGAACGACACCUACAGCGAGAGCAACGACGACACCGUGGGACAGAUCGUUCAUUACAUCAUGAAGAAUGAAGGUGGUCACAAAGGUGUGUUGAAAUGCCCUCUGGUCAGACAUAAGUGAUUUAAUAUGAUGCUAGACUUCUAGUGUAGUACACAGUCUUAGUUUGUGGGGAAAUCAGCCUUAUUUU